UUACUGCCACCCUCUCCCAGGUCUAGAGAGGGGUACCCACGGUGGAGGGAGGUGGGAGGCCGAGACGGCCCCGGGGGUCGGCGGAGACCCAGCGGGAGCAGGGGGAAAUCGGAAGAGCUGGGGGCAUGGAGCGGGCGAGUUUGGAGCGGAAUGAGCCGGGAGCCCUACGUUGUGGAAGGAAGACAACAGUAUAGGACCAUCAGCAGGACCGGACAGAGAGGGGCACCCCUGGCUGUCCUGGAACUUAUGUAAACCAGCCUGGCCUUGAACUUGCAGAGAUCCACCUGCCUUUGCCUCUGCCCCUGCCCCUGCCCCUGCCCCUGCCCCUGCCCCUGCCCCUGCCUUUCUGCCUCUGCCUCUGCCUCUCUGCCUUUCUGCCUCUGCCUCUCUGCCUCUGCCUCUCUGCCUCUGCCUCUCAAGUGUCAGGGAUUAAUGCCUGCCACCUCCCCAGUCCCACCCCUCUCCAUCUACCAUGUGGGUUCCACGGGGCAAACCCAAGUCAUCAGGCUUGUUGGCCAGUGCCUUUAUCCACUGAGCCAAGCCGCUUGGUGUGUCUUUGAUGGUGAUUAUUUACAGGAGCUAUUCAGCAAGGUUAAAUGCUGGCAACCCAAUGAGGGGGUCUCUUGAUCCAAAACUGAGAAGUUGAGGCACUAUUUCAGAAUGACCAAAGACAGUAGAAGAAUCUAGAUAUGUCGAUGAUGAGAACAAUGAUAACUCCAAAAGCUGAGGGAAAUUAACUCAAAAUCUUCCAGCUUCCUUUUCCUUACCUAGUUUGGCGGACUCCAACUCUUGGGAUAGCUUUUUUUCUGGCCCCAAACUCACCUGAUUCGUCUGUCCACUGCCACACUGAAGAAUGAACAGCUGUCUCAGAGAGCUUGGCUCCAGAGCUCUGCAAAAAGAGGACACCUUGCCUUGAGCUGUGUUUCCAGAAUGUAUUGCAGCCCCCAGAGUCAUGUACUGUGACCAGGUGAGGACAUGCAUCUUCUGUUCUCCUGCACCCAGGGCCCCAGCAACCAAGGAUCUGGGGACAUGGCGGGUGUUUGGCAGGUUCGCACUCUGAAAAUAUUUGAUGAGACUCAGUAUAUGCUAAAUAAACACUGGAUCAA
rnacentral:lncRNA from 1 species